rnacentral:rRNA from 1 species
GAACGGGCCAACGAGUUACGUUAAGUAGCAAGGUUAAGCACUUAAGGUGCGGAGCCGUAGCGAAAGCGAGUUUUAACUGAGCGUUCAGUUACUUGACGUAGACCCGAAACCGGGCGACCUACCCAUGAGCAGGCUGAAGCGAAAGUAAAAUUUCGUGGAGGUCCGAACCCACGAGCGUUGAAAAGCUCGGGGAUGACUUGUGGGUAGCGGUGAAAUUCCAAUCGAGCCCGGAGAUAGCUGGUUC